rnacentral:rRNA from 1 species
CUGGCGGCAUGCCUUACACAUGCAAGUCGAACGGCAGCGCGGACUUCGGUCUGGCGGCGAGUGGCGAACGGGAGAGUAAUGUACCGGAACGUGCCCUAGAGUGGGGGAUAACGUAGCGAAAGUUACGCUAAUACCGCAUACGAUCUACGGAUGAAAGUGGGGGACCGCAAGGCCUCACGCUCAUGGAGCGGCCGAUAUCUGAUUAGCUAGUUGGUAGGGUAAAAGCCUACCAAGGCGACGAUCAGUAGCUGGUCUGAGAGGACGACCAGCCACACUGGGACUGAGACACGGCCCAGACUCCUACGGGAGGCAGCAGUGGGGAAUUUUGGACAAUGGGGGAAACCCUGAUCCAGCAAUGCCGCGUGUGUGAAGAAGGCCUUCGGGUUGUAAAGCACUUUUGUCAGGAACGAAACGGUGGGGGCUAAUAUCCUCUGCUAAUGACGGUACCUGAAGAAUAAGCACCGGCUAACUACGUGCCAGCAGCCGCGGUAAUACGUAGGGUGCAAGCGUUAAUCGGAAUUACUGGGCGUAAAGCGUGCGCAGGCGGUUGUGCAAGACAGAUGUGAAAUCCCCGGGCUUAACCUGGGAAUUGCAUUUGUGACUGCACGGCUAGAGUGUGUCAGAGGGGGGUAGAAUUCCACGUGUAGCAGUGAAAUGCGUAGAUAUGUGGAGGAAUACCGAUGGCGAAGGCAGCCCCCUGGGGAUAACACUGACGCUCAUGCACGAAAGCGUGGGGAGCAAACAGGAUUAGAUACCCUGG